GAUGAUUCUCUGGAUUUCCUCAGUGUCUGUUGUUUAGUGUUCUCUCUCUCUGCCUUUUGGUUAGUUUGGAUAGAGGUUUGUCUAUCUUGUUGAACUUCUCAAAGAACCACCUCUUUGUUUCAUUAAUUCUUUGUAAUGUUUUCCUAGUUUCUACUUUAUUGAUUUCAGCCCUCAGUUUGAUUAUUUCCUGGCAUCUACUUCUCUGUGGUGAGUUUGCUUCUUUUUGCUCUAAAGCUUUCAGUUGUUCUGUCAGUUCUCUAGUGUGACUAUACUCCAGUUUCUUCAUGUGGGCACUUAGUGCUGUGAACUUUCAGAGUGCCCCAUAAGUUUGGUUUACUCAGCAGGAAAAUACAAUGGAACCUUGAAUUCUCGGGCAAAUGGAUGGAACUAGAAGAAACCAUCCUGAGUGAGGGACUCAUCCAGUAGCUGAUGGAAACAAAAGCAGAGACCCACAGUAAAACACUGAGCCAAAUUACUGGAUCCAGUUUUAGAGAGGGAGGAGUGAUGAGCAAAGAGGUCAAGACAAAGACGGUUAAAUCAACAGAAACAGCUGACCUGAACAAGGAGGAGCUCAUGGAUCCCAGACUUACAGCUUGGAAACCAGUAGAGGAUGGAACCAGGCCUUCUGCAUGGUCUCAGGGCCUCCUGUUGACUGUUUAGGAAGACCCUCUGCCCAGUGUGCCCCUCACUUCUGCUGUCUGCUGCUCUCGAAUGCUGAGAUUACAAGCAUGUGUUACCACAUCGGGUAUUUUCACAUGGGUUCAGGAAAAAGUGAUGUUUUUCACAUUAAUUCAGUACUACACAGGACAUAAAGAACAUGUCUCAGCAGCAUUAUUAAAUAUAUAUUCCUAGUUUAAAAGGAAAAUUAGAUAUAGAGAAUCCUAUGACUUAAAUUUAUAUCACUAUCUCUAGAACAUAUAUUACAAUUCACUAUUUUAUGCUAAUUAUUUACAACAUGACAAAAAUAUGUGAAGUAAUUAAAUAUUUCAAAUAAUGAAACAUGGUACAAUUAAUCAGAUAUCAUAGUAAUGAAAGACACCAACAAUUAUUUCUUCAAUUUGUGUGUAUGUAUUUGUACAAUUUUAAGUGACACCUCAAGCUGGACUUUGGUGGUACAUGCCUUUAAUCCCAGCAUUCGGGAGGCAGAGGCAGGUGGAUCUCUGUGAGUUCGAGGCCAGCCUGGUCUCGAGUGCCAGUACAGGCUCCACAGCUACACAGAGAAACCCUGUCUUGAAAAAUAAAAAUAAAAUGACACCCCAGCUGUGUUCUCCUUAUCCAACUCAAGUAUAUGCAAUAUAGAGUUGCUU
rnacentral:lncRNA from 1 species